rnacentral:rRNA from 1 species
GGGGAAUAUUGGACAAUGGGCGAAAGCCUGAUCCAGCCAUGCCGCGUGUGUGAAGAAGGCCUUUUGGUUGUAAAGCACUUUAAGUGGGGAGGAAAAGCUUGUGGUUAAUACCCAUAAGCCCUGACGUUACCCACAGAAUAAGCACCGGCUAACUCUGUGCCAGCAGCCGCGGUAAUACAGAGGGUGCAAGCGUUAAUCGGAAUUACUGGGCGUAAAGCGCGCGUAGGUGGUUAUUUAAGUCAGAUGUGAAAGCCCCGGGCUUAACCUGGGAACUGCAUCUGAUACUGGAUAACUAGAGUAGGUGAGAGGGGAGUAGAAUUCCAGGUGUAGCGGUGAAAUGCGUAGAGAUCUGGAGGAAUACCGAUGGCGAAGGCAGCUCCCUGGCAUCAUACUGACACUGAGGUGCGAAAGCGUGGGUAGCAAACAGGAUUAGAUACCCUGGUAGUCCACGCCGUAAACGAUGUCUACCAGUCGUUGGGUCUUUUAAAGACUUAGUGACGCAGUUAACGCAAUAAGUAGACCGCCUGGGGAGUACGGCCGCAAGGUUA